rnacentral:rRNA from 1 species
AUGAACGCUAGCUACAGGCUUAACACAUGCAAGUCGAGGGGCAGCAUGGUCUUAGCUUGCUAAGGCCGAUGGCGACCGGCGCACGGGUGAGUAACACGUAUCCAACCUGCCGUCUACUCUUGGACAGCCUUCUGAAAGGAAGAUUAAUACAAGAUGGCAUCAUGAGUCCGCAUGUUCACAUGAUUAAAGGUAUUCCGGUAGACGAUGGGGAUGCGUUCCAUUAGAUAGUAGGCGGGGUAACGGCCCACCUAGUCUUCGAUGGAUAGGGGUUCUGAGAGGAAGGUCCCCCACAUUGGAACUGAGACACGGUCCAAACUCCUACGGGAGGCAGCAGUGAGGAAUAUUGGUCAAUGGGCGAGAGCCUGAACCAGCCAAGUAGCGUGAAGGAUGACUGCCCUAUGGGUUGUAAACUUCUUUUAUAAAGGAAUAAAGUCGGGUAUGCAUACCCGUUUGCAUGUACUUUAUGAAUAAGGAUCGGCUAACUCCGUGCCAGCAGCCGCGGUAAUACGGAGGAUCCGAGCGUUAUCCGGAUUUAUUGGGUUUAAAGGGAGCGUAGAUGGAUGUUUAAGUCAGUUGUGAAAGUUUGCGGCUCAACCGUAAAAUUGCAGUUGAUACUGGAUAUCUUGAGUGCAGUUGAGGCAGGCGGAAUUCGUGGUGUAGCGGUGAAAUGCUUAGAUAUCACGAAGAACUCCGAUUGCGAAGGCAGCCUGCUAAGCUGCAACUGACAUUGAGGCUCGAAAGUGUGGGUAUCAAACAGGAUUAGAUACCCUGGUAGUCCACACGGUAAACGAUGAAUACUCGCUGUUUGCGAUAUACAGCAAGCGGCCAAACGAAAGCGUUAAGUAUUCCACCUGGGGAGUACGCCGGCAACGGUGAAACUCAAAGGAAUUGACGGGGGCCCGCACAAGCGGAGGAACAUGUGGUUUAAUUCGAUGAUACGCGAGGAACCUUACCCGGGCUUAAAUUGCAGAUGAAUUACGGUGAAAGCCGUAAGCCGCAAGGCAUCUGUGAAGGUGCUGCAUGGUUGUCGUCAGCUCGUGCCGUGAGGUGUCGGCUUAAGUGCCAUAACGAGCGCAACCCUUGUUGUCAGUUACUAACAGGUUCCGCUGAGGACUCUGACAAGACUGCCAUCGUAAGAUGUGAGGAAGGUGGGGAUGACGUCAAAUCAGCACGGCCCUUACGUCCGGGGCUACACACGUGUUACAAUGGGGGGUACAGAGGGCCGCUACCACGCGAGUGGAUGCCAAUCCCAAAAACCUCUCUCAGUUCGGACUGGAGUCUGCAACCCGACUCCACGAAGCUGGAUUCGCUAGUAAUCGCGCAUCAGCCACGGCGCGGUGAAUACGUUCCCGGGCCUUGUACACACCGCCCGUCAAGCCAUGGGAGCCGGGGGUACCUGAAGUGCGUAACCGCGAGGAGCGCCCUAGGGUAAAACUGGUGACUGGGG